GGGCUGGCUUUAGCCCAGUGGUUCCUUCGAGUCUAGCUUCCCAACUACCCGGGCCAAUUGGUCCAGUGGUUUGAGACCUGCGGGCGCUCUCCAGUCCUUUU
ensembl:misc_RNA Vault Vault RNA